UACGAAGGGAGCUAGCGUUGUUCGGAAUCACUGGGCGUAAAGGGCGCGUAGGCGGCCGUUCAAGUCGGGGGUGAAAGCCUGUGGCUCAACCACAGAAUUGCCCUUCGAUACUGGACGGCUCGAGACCGGAAGAGGUCAGUGGAACUGCGAGUGUAGAGGUGAAAUUCGUAGAUAUUCGCAAGAACACCAGUGGCGAAGGCGGCUGACUGGUCCGGUUCUGGACGC
rnacentral:rRNA from 1 species